GUGACGGUACUCGUCUGGGACGAGGGCAGCCCGUGAAGCUGCGGAGGCGGGUUCGAUCCCCGUCCGUCACC
rnacentral:tRNA from 1 species